rnacentral:rRNA from 1 species
UUCCCCAAGCGGGGGAGCAUGUGGUUUAAUUUGGCGCAACGCGAAGAACCUUACCUACUCUUGACAUCUAGGGAAGAUUGCAGAGAUGCGGUUGUGCCUUUGGGAACCUUAAGACAGGUGCUGCAUGGCGGUUGUCAGCUCGUGUUGUGAAAUGUUGGGUUAAGUCCCGCAACGAGCGCAACCCUUAUCCUUAGUUGCCAGCACGUAAUGUCGGGAACUCUAGGGAGACUGCCGGUGAUAAACCGGAGGAAGGUGGGGACGACGUCAAGUCAUCAUGGCCCUUACGAGUAGGGCUACACACGUGCUACAAUGGUACGUACAGAGGGAGGCAACCUGGCGACAGUGAGCGGAUCUCAUAAAGCGUAUCGUAGUCCGGAUUGCAGUCUGCAACUCGACUCCAUGAAGUCGGAAUCGCUAGUAUCGUAUUAGUUG